rnacentral:lncRNA from 1 species
UAGCAGAUUUUUUGAUAGUCGGAAUUAAUAUUUUGGAUAGAUUUAAUUUUUGAAUGAAACACUUCCUUCUCGUUCAUUGCAUUAUCUGUUGCAUUUCAAAUGCAAAUAUUUAUGUUUAUCUGUUGUAGGGUUGCCAUACAACAAGUAUUAUUCGAAAUUAUAGGUAUUUUGGCUGUCAUUCCAGAAAAACUUUGUAUUAUUUUGAUAUAGUUUAGGUAUUGAUUUUUGGAAAAUAUAAUAUUUUAGAAACAUGAUAAUAAAUGUUAUCAUAGGUUUUUUUAGGCUGUUCUGGAAUGACAUUUGUUGGGUUUUGUUUACUUCAAGGUCUGAUACAGAAACUGGAGUAAUUCUCAUUUAAUUAAUUAGAGUAUUUUAUUGUUCAUUCGUUUGCCACCCGGCUUUUGUUUUGGGUCCUUUAAAUUCGAGAUCAUUCAGUGCGGCGUUCUUUUUGUGACGAGAUCCUCUUGUAUAGUGGUCGGACGGCCGUAUAAGGGCCUGGAGCCCGGCAUGCCACGUGCUGCCGUGGCGUUCCAUAUUUGGUGUGGUGCUUUCUGUCAGUCUGACUGGCAGAAACAUGCUCAGGGUGGGAGUGCUCCGUGGAGAUCCUCGGUCUGCAGUCUGCAGGUCUCCGGAGUCGGGAAGAAGUAAAGAAUUAGAGAAUUGCAGAAUUAGAUAAUUAAACAAGAACCUUUACAAUUUCGAUGUGCAAGGAAACUUCUUUGGCUUACUGGCGCAAGGUGUCUUUGGACCUUGUUUUCGUAUGGAAGGGUCAGCCCUGUCCACGUGGCGAGGGGGCGUCAGCACCGGAGUCCGGGGAGCAGCCGGCUCACCCCUGACAAGGUGUGUCUCCUGCCCGUUUCCUGCCGGUAAUGCUGUGUAAUUCAGGUUUUUAAUUUCUGUGUAAAGUAAUUUCUGAUUUCAUUUAUUUUGAGAAUUCUGGUGCAUAACUUUAGGUAAAUUCAUAUUUAGUUUUUGUAGAAUAAAUGGUUGUAAGAAACCUUUUCCUGGACCCUCUUAAAGCGGCCCAGCUUUACCACUGAGCGUAGUUCUGAUUUCAUAUAUGGUGUCGAAUUUAGUAUUUUGGAAACAUUAACUUAAACCUUUCUGUAGGCAAGAGUUUAUUUAUAAUUAAUAAAGUUAUAAAAUGUGAUAUUGUUUAAUUUGUUUCUCCUCUGGCUUUCCUCCAGCAAGUAUAGAGACACCAUUUAGCUUUUGUUUUAUUAUAAAUUUUGUGCUAACGUGGGUGUAUUUACUUUGAACUAGCCGGAGCUUUCCAUUCCAUUUUAUUUACCCCCCAUCAAAUACACCACGGUUACACUGGCGCCCUGGGUAACUUUGAUUUUUAGUAAUGACUUGCUGAAGGAUAAGCCUAGAUUUUGUUAUGCACCAGAAAUUACUUUAAUUUUUUUGUGUCUCACCUUUUGUGAAACUUUUAGUAACUAUUUUGAAGUUAAAUGUUUGUUGCAUUGUAUUUUUGGUAUUAGCAUACAUUUUGUGUUUUUAUUUUAUGUUGAUUUGACAUAUAAUUUUUAAAAAAAGAGUUACAUUUUGUGUGAUACAUUUUGAGGUUAACAAAUUUUGCUGACUUAACUAAUAUCAAAGCACAUGUUUGUUUUGAAUAAUUUUGGAUACUAUUUUGGAUUUAUUUAGUCUGGUUUUUCGUAUGCUUUAGCAUUUUAGUAUUUCUUUUUGGAAAAAUAGUGUAAAGUUAACAUUUCAAUCAGAACAAUAUUUUAUGAAAGUGAUAUUUGUUUGAAUUUUGUUCGGGAACUUUUUAGUUUUAUAAUUUUGACCAACUGUUUAUUGGAACUGCAAUUUUAGUAAUGUUUUUUUUUUAGUAUUUGUUACUUUUGACUAUUUUACACUGCAAUGUAAUUGUUUUGAGGGAUUAAGCUAAUAUACAUAAUAGUUUAUUACGGAUUAAGUUUAUUAAGGAAAACAACUGUCAUUAUUACUAUACUUUUAAUUUUUCACUUUCAAACACCAGAAUUUUCAACACAGUAUAUUUUAUUAGAUAUCACAGCACAUAAUUUCACAGCUUAUUAGUUAAUAAAGUUUAUAGUAAAUCACUGUUCUUCAUAGGUUGUGAUGUGGUGAAAGCGACACCACUAUUUUGUUUUUCAGAGUUCUUCGGGAUAGCUGGCAGCAGUGUCCGGCAAGCUUCUUUAGUGAUGUCAUUUAAAUUUGAAAAUGAAGAUAUUCUUCUCCGGCGUGUUUGCGCUUUUAGUUCCAAUGACAGUUUACAGGAUAAAUUUUCAAUUUUACACACUUCCUGUGAUCCGGUGUCCAGUAGUGGGAAUGGCUGGAUCCUUUUGUUGGUUUUGUUUCGUGGUUUAUGUAUCCAAAUUCAGCAUUUAGUAGAAAUCUGUAACAAUUUCAUUUUAAUUUAGAAGUAUGCAAUACAGGUUAGUUUGGUUAUUUUGUUACAACUUGCAACAACAUUUAGCGUUUAUUUUGUUAUGAGAGAGGAGCCAUAGCGUAAAGUAUGCCUCCUUUGCUCAU